AUUGAACGCUGGCGGCAGGCUUAACACAUGCAAGUCGAGCGAGUGGCGGACGGGUGAGUAAUGUAUGGGAAACUGCCCGAUGGCGGGGGAUAACUACUGGAAACGGUAGCUAAUACCGCAUACUAUCAGAUGGGCCCAGAUGGGAUUAGCUAGUUGGUGGGGUAAUGGCUCACCUAGGCGACGAUCCAUAGCGGGUCUGAGAGGAUGACCAGCCACACUGGGACUGAGACACGGCCCAGACUCCUACGUGAGGCAGCAGUGGGGAAUAUUGGACAAUGGGCGCAAGCCUGAUGCAGCCAUGCCGCGUGUGUGAAGAAGGCCUUCGGGUUGUAAAGCACUUUCAGCGGGGAGGCGUUACUCGCAGAAGAAGCACCGGCUAACUCCGUGCCAGCAGCCGCGGUAAUUC
rnacentral:rRNA from 1 species